rnacentral:rRNA from 1 species
CCUACGGGAGGCAGCAGUGAGGAAUAUUGGUCAAUGGACGGAAGUCUGAACCAGCCAUGCCGCGUGCAGGAAGACGGCUCUAUGAGUUGUAAACUGCUUUUGUACAAGGGUAAACCUGAAUACGUGUAUUCGGCUGAAAUUACUGUACGAAUAAGGAUAGGCUAACUCCGUGCCAGCAGCCGCGGUAAUACGGAGGAUCCACGCGUUAUCCGGAUUUAUUGGGUUUAAAGGGUGCGUAGGCGGAUUGAUAAGUUAGAGGUGAAAUGUCCGAGCUUAACUCGGGAACUGCCUCUAAUACUGUUGAUCUAGAGAGUAGAUGAGGUAGGCGGAAUGUAUGGUGUAGCGGUGAAAUGCUUAGAGAUCAUACAGAACACCGAUUGCGAAGGCAGCUUACCAGUCUAUAUCUGACGUUGAGGCACGAAAGCGUGGGGAGCAAACAGGAUUAGAUACCCCAGUAGUC